rnacentral:rRNA from 1 species
UACAGAGGGUGCGAGCGUUAAUCGGAAUUACUGGGCGUAAAGCGUGCGUAGACGGCUAUCUAAGUCGGGUGUGAAAGCCCCGGGCUCAACCUGCGAACUGCAUUCGAUACUGGGCGGCUAGAGUAUGAGAGAGGGAGGUAGAAUUCCACGUGUAGCGGUGAAAUGCGUAGAUAUGUGGAGGAAUACCGGUGGCGAAGGCGGCCUCCUGGUUCAAUACUGACGCUGAGGUGCGAAAGCGUGGGGAGCAAACAGG